rnacentral:rRNA from 1 species
AUUGAACGCUGGCGGCAGGCCUAACCCAUGCAAGUCGAACGAUUGGCGGACGGGUGCGUAAUGUCUGGGAAACUGCCCGAUGGAGGGGGAUAACUCCUGGAAACGGUAUCUAAUACCGCAUACCAUCGGAUGUGCCCAGAUGGGAGUAGCUAGUAGGUGGGGUAACGGCUCACCUAGGCGACGAUCCCUAGCUGGUCUGAGAGGCUGACCAGCCACACUGGAACUGAGAAACGGUCCAGACUCCUACGGGAGGAAGCAGUGGGGAAUAUUGCACAAUGGGCGCAAGCCUGAUGCAGCCAUGCCGCGUGUAUGAAGAAGGCCUUCGGGUUGUAAAGUACGUGCAGCGAGGAGGCGUUACUCGCAGAAGAAGCACCGGCUAACUCCGUGCCAGCAGCCGCGGUAAUUC